UACGUAGGGUGCAAGCGUUGUCCGGAAUUAUUGGGCGUAAAGAGCUCGUAGGCGGUCUGUCGCGUCGGCUGUGAAAACUCGGGGCUCAACUCCGAGCUUGCAGUCGAUACGGGCAGGCUAGAGUUCGGCAGGGGGAGACUGGAAUUCCUGGUGUAGCGGUGAAAUGCGCAGAUAUCAGGAAGAACACCGGUGGCGAAGGCGGCGACCUGGUCCGAUACUGACGCUGAGGCGCGAAAGCGUGGGGAGCAAACAGG
rnacentral:rRNA from 1 species